GUGCAAGCUACUAGACCACAGCAUCAAUCGAAAAGUUCUAUUGUUAUAAAGGAAAAUUUAAGUAUAAUAAGAGUGCUAAGUUAGUAUAUAAAUAGUGCUGAACGAUAGUUACAUAAGUUGAUUAAUGAUAAGAGUUGAUGCAAGGCCAAGGAAAAAUAAAUACUAAUUUCUGAGACUAAGGGGUGAAUUGGCGGUUUCCGACGAAUUAUAAGGUCGGGACCGCCCAGCUUUAAAAUUAACAAAACCUUGAUAGUGAGGUGAAGCGGUGCCCAGAACGGUUCUUA